AUGGAAAAAGCAAGAGAGUUCCAGAAAAACAUCUAUUUCUGCUUUACUGACUAUGCCAAAGCCUUUGACUGUGUGGAUCACAAUAAACUGUGGAAAAUUCUGAAAGAGAUGGGAAUACCAGACCACCUGACCUGCCUCUUGAGAAACCUAUAUGCAGGUCAGGAAGCAACAGUUAGAACUGGCCAUGGAACAACAGACUGGUUCCAAACAGGAAAAGGAGUACGUCAAGGCUGUAUAUUGUCACCCUGCUCAUUUAACUUAUAUGCAGAGUACAUCAUGAGAAACGCUGGGCUGGAAGAAGCACAAGCUGGAAUCAAGAUUGCCGGGAGAAAUAUCAAUAAACUCAGAUAUGCAGAUGACACCACCCUUAUGGCAGAAAAUGAAGAGGAACUAAAAAGCCUCUUGAUGAAAGUGAAAAAGGGGAGUGAAAAAGUUGGCUUAAAGCUCAACAUUCAGAAAAUGAAGAUCAUGGCAUCCGGUCCCAUCACUUCAUGGGAAAUAGAUGGGGAAACAGUGGAAACAGUGGCUGACUUUAUUUUUGGGGGCUCCAAAAUCACUGCAGAUGGUGACUGCAGCCAUGAAAUUAAAAGACGCUUACUCCUUGGAAGAAAAGUUAUGACCAACCUAGAUAGCAUAUUGAAAAGCAGAGACAUUACUUUGCCGACUAAGGUCCGUCUAGUUAAGGCUAUGGUUUUUCCAGUGGUCAUGUAUGGAUGUGAGAGUUGGACUGUGAAGAAGGCUGAGUGCCGAAGAAUUGAUGCUUUUGAACUGUGGUGUUGGAGAAGACUCUUGAGAGUCCCUUGGACUGCAAGGAGAUCCAACCAGUCCAUUCUGAAGGAGAUCAGUCCUGGGUGUUCUUUGGAAGGACUGAUGCUAAAGCUGAAACUCCAGUACUUCGGCCACCUCAUGCAAAGAGUUGACUCAUUGGAAAAGACUCUGAGGCUGGGAGGGAUUGGGGGCAGGAGGAGAAGGGGACAACAGAGGAUGAGAUGGCUGGAUGGCAUCACGGACUCGAUGGACAUGAGUCUGGGUGAACUCCGGGAGGUGGUGAUGGACAGGGAGGCCUGGCGUGCUACAAUUCAUGUGGUCACAAAGAGUCAGACACGACUGAGCGACUGA
rnacentral:lncRNA from 1 species